AAAAAGAUGGCAUGCAAAGGCAUUUUACUUUGAUGCAUUGGGGGACACAGCACCAUGGGUAUAUGCCCAGCUGCCACUAGGAGGCUGCCACUAGAAGUAAAACGUGUUGACUCCUCCUAUCUGGGCUAUACCCACUGCAGAUGCAGGAGCAAA